rnacentral:rRNA from 1 species
GAUGAACGCUGGCGGCGUGCCUAAUACAUGCAAGUCGAGCGAACAGACGAGGAUCUUGCUCCUUUGACGUUAGCGGCGGACGGGUGAGUAACACGUGGAUAACCUACCUAUAAGACUGGGAUAACUUCGGGAAACCGGAGCUAAUACCGGAUAACAUGUUGAACCGCAUGGUUCAACAGUGAAAGACGGUCUUGCUGUCACUUCUAGAUGGAUCCGCGCCGCAUUAGCUAGUUGGUAAGGUAACGGCUUACCAAGGCAACGAUGCGUAGCCGACCUGAGAGGGUGACCGCCGACACUGGAACUGAGACACGGUCCAGACUCCUACGGGAGGCAGCAGUAGGGAAUCGUCCGCAAUGGGCGAAAGCCUGACGGAGCAACGCCGCGUGAGUGAAGAAGGUCUUCGGAUCGGAAAACUCUGUUAUGAGGGAAGAACAAAUGUGUAAGUAACUAUGCACGUCUUGACGGUACCUAAUCAGAAAGCCACGGCUAACUACGUG